GCCAUAGUAGCUCUGAGAACUGAAUCUCGGGGACCAGGAACAGUCUCACAUGUCAUUGUAAUCUGGAUUCAUGAGCUCUGACUUUCCACAGCCUUUGAGUCACUGAGAACCAGGAUCAACUUUCACAGAGGAUCCAGAUAAUCAGCCAGCUUGAGUCACACUCCUGCAGUUUGGCUAGGGUAGGGAUUCCUGACCAACAGUCCCAUAAGAUCUUAUCCAGUCAGGAGGGACUGGCCCAAUCUGAAGUGCAGCCGAGACGGGGAGCCACAGACCUGGAACCUGGGUACUCAAAGAGUUGUCCACAUGCCAGCAGCACUGGCCCUUCCAGGAGCUGUUAGAAAUGUAGAACCUCAGAGCCUCCAUUGAAGAUAUUGAAUCGGAGUCUGCACGUCGCAUCUGAGAAGCCAUGAGCUAAGCUGGUGCCAUUCAGCUGGGUAGCAUCUCAGUCACUGUGCAACUUUUAAACCUACAGCUGCCCAGGCCCACUGCAGACCUGCUAAAUUCAAGCUCCUUGUAGUGGGGCCAGGGCCCUGGGACUUCACACAAAACUCUGCAAGUCAUCACUGAUGAGAAAACCAAGACUCGAUGAGAGUCUCCUGAGCUCGGAGGAAGAAGCUGCAUAACCAGCACACUUCCAGAGAGGACCGAGGAAGAGAGCGUCGCUUCAGCUAGGGAUCUGAUUAGUCAUGCCUGGAACUAAAGGAGUGGAGCUGGGGAUGCCAAUGUUUCUGUUGAGACAGCUGAAGGGGCCAUGCGAGCCCACAGCGAGAGCUGCAGGAGCAGCUACUACAGGCAGUGGGCAGAUUUUAGGAUGUGCAGCUUUGGACAUGGUGUGCCUCGGUUGUACAUUCAGGAAUCUCUUUCCUUGUGAUACGCAGAGCUGCACGUGGAAGAUGUUAGGAACACAGCUGGGUGCAGUUUUGCUGGUUAGUUCUGAACAAACCUACAGACAUGAGAUUUGAACUCUAUAAGGGAAGAAAGCAAGGAGGAAGAAGGCACUGAGGCUGCCUGUCACCAGGAGGGUUCUGGGCAAAACGGGGUAGAGUGACUUGAGGCAGUUCCUCUUAACGAUGGCACAGGCAGUAGGGGUUGAGACACAGUGGGGUUGAGACUUGCUUAAAUGUAUAGUUAUUCAGUCAGCCAUUUUCGUAGAAUAAUUGUGGGUUGUCCUGAGCUGCCGAGUUCACAUGUUCUGCAGUGGGGCACUAUAUGCUAAUAUGAGAUGUGAGUUCACCCAGAUUUCACCGCCCUAGAAGGUCAUUUUUUUUUAAAGUAAAACAAUGUUGUGGCCAGGUGUGGCCUGUUAGCUUUAAAAACGAAUGGCCUCUGCUGAGGGACACUUGGGUUGUUUCCCUGUCUUGGCUACGGUGAGCAGUGCUGCAGUGGACAUGGGAGGGCAGGCAGCUCUUCUACCCACUGGCCUCCUUUCCUGUGGGUUUGUCCCCAGAAGUGGGACCUGCUGGAUCAUAUCGAAGCUCUGGUUGUCAUUUCCUGAGGAACCUUCAGGCUGUUUUCAUCCUGGCUCUACUAAUUUACAUUCCCACCCUCAGUGAAUAAGGGUUCACUCUUCACAUCCUCACCAGCACAGGUUACCUUUUGACUUUUUCAUAAUUGCCAUCCUAACAGGUGCGAGGUGAUAACUGUUUGCGGUUUUAAUUUGCAUUUCCCUGAUGAUUAGUUGAGGACUUUUUCAUAUACCUGUUGCCCAUUUGUAUGUCUUCUUUGGAAAAAUGUCUAUUCAGGUCCUUUGCCCAUUUUUAAUCAGGUUAUUACUCUUAUUAUUUUGCUACUGAGCUGUAUGAGUUUCUUAUUUAUUUAAAAUAUUAACCCCCUUUCAGAUAUAUGGUUUGAAAAUGAUGUCUUUUA